UUAAGCCGUGUACUUGGAAACUUGUACGCACGGUUUUCAGGGGGGAAAGAGGUAGAAAUAUCUCUGACCUACCCGAC
rfam:Cylindrospermum stagnale PCC 7417 plasmid pCYLST.01, partial sequence.